GAUGAAGAACGUAGCGAAAUGCGAUACGUAAUGUGAAUUGCAGAAUUCAGUGAAUCAUCGAAUCUUUGAACGCAUAUUGCGCUCUCUGGUAUUCCGGAGAGCAUGCUUGUUUGAGUAUCAGUAAACACCUCAACUCCCUUUUCUUUUUUGAAAUUGGAGCUGGACUUAAGUGAUCCCAACGCUUUCUUCCAAGAAAGUGGCGGGUUGCUUGAAAUGCAGGUGCAGCUGAACUUUUCUCUGAGCUAUAAGCAUAUCUAUUUAGUCUGCCUAAAAAACAGAUUAUUACCUUUGCUGCAGCUAACAUAAAGGAGACUAGUUCUUGUGCUGACUGAUGCAGGAUUCACAGAGACAGCUUCGGCUGACUUUGUAAACUCGAUCUCAAAUCAAGUAAGACUACCCGCUGAACUUAAGCAUAUCAAUAAGCGGAGGA
rnacentral:misc_RNA from 1 species